UACCGCUCUUAACCACUGCACCACACUGGCUCUCACCUGAAUCUAUGCUCAUUGACUUAAAAUUCUCAAUGAGAAAGGAACAUGGGGCUUUUAUGUGAGAGCCAGUGUGGUGUAGUGGUUAAGAGCGGUAGU